ACAUGUGACGGUCAUCUGGCCGAGACUGCUGUCCUUGAUCACCAGCGCUGACCCGGCUAAUCUGCUGGUUAGGCUGGCGUCCCUCCCUCCCUCACGGUUCCGUUUGUGUCUCUGGAGCUGAGCACUCUGUUGAGGAGGACAACUGUCCCUGGAAGAGGAGGACUGUUCUUCUGUCCAGGGUUCGUACUAGAAUCUCCAAACAAGCCACCCAAACUCCUCACCGACAGAAGAAUCCUAAUGGCCUGUGUCAUGUGCCUUUG
rnacentral:sRNA from 1 species